CUACGGGUUGCUGCAGUGAGGAAUAUUGCGCAAUGGGGGAAACCCUGACGCAGCGACGCCGCGUGGAUGAUGAAGGCCUUAGGGUCGUAAAAUCCUGUCAGGUGGGAAGAAGUGGAUAUAGAUUAAUACUCUAUUUCUUUGACGGUACCACCAAAGGAAGCACCGGCUAACUCCGUGCCAGCAGCCGCGGUAUCCGGAGGGUGCAAACGUUGUUCGGAAUUACUGGGCGUAAAGCGCGCGUAGGCGGUUUGUUAAGUCAGAUGUGAAAGUCCAUGGCUCAACUAUGGAAGUGCAUUGGAAACUGGCAGAGUUGAGUACUGGAGGGGGUGAUGGAAUUCCCGGUGUAGAGGUGAGAUUCGUAGAUAUCGGGAGGAAUACCGGUGGCGAAGGCGAUCACCUGGCCAGAUACUGACGCUGAGGUGCGAAAGCGUGGGGAGCAAACAGGAUUAGAUACCCCCGUAGUC
rnacentral:rRNA from 1 species